rnacentral:rRNA from 1 species
UAGUUAGAUAACAAAACUACUCGCCAGAAUACUACAAGCAACAGCUUAAAACUCAAAGGACUUGACGGUGCUUUACAUCCCCCUAGAGGAGCCUGUUCCAUAAUCGAUAAACCCCGAUCCACCCCACCCUCUCUUGCUCAGCCUAUAUACCGCCAUCUUCAGCAAACCCCAAUGAAGGCCACAAAGUGAGCGCAAACGCCGCUGCCGCGAAUACGUUAGGUCAAGGUGUAGCCCAUGAGACGGUAAAAAAUGGGCUACAUUUUCUAUUUCAGAAAACCCCACGAAAACCCUUAUGAAACUUAAGGGUCCAAGGAGGAUUUAGCAGUAAAUUAAGAAUAGAGUGCUUAAUUGAACCAGGCCAUAAAGCGCGCACACACCGCCCGUCACUCCUCUCAAAUAUAUUUAAGGAAUAUCCUAACUAAACGCCCUAAUAUUUAUAUAGAGGGGAUAAGUCGUAACAUGGUAAGCGUACUGGAAGGUGCGCUUGGAUAAAU